rnacentral:tRNA from 1 species
GGCCCGGUAGCUUAACUGGUAGAGCUCCUGACAUGUUAUCAGGUUCGAUUCCUGGCUUGGCAACCA